rnacentral:sRNA from 1 species
UCGGUUACGACUGGGUCUUGCGGGGCGU